UACGGGGGGAGCAAGCGUUGUUCGGAUUUACUGGGCGUAAAGGGCGCGUAGGCGGCCAGCGCAAGUCAGUUGUGAAAUCUCCGGGCUUAACUCGGAACGGUCAACUGAUACUGCGCGGCUAGAGUGCAGAAGGGGCAACUGGAAUUCUCGGUGUAGCGGUGAAAUGCGUAGAUAUCUAGAGGAACGCCAAAGGCGAAGGCAGGCAGCUGGGCCAAUUCUGACGCUGAGGCACGAAAGCGUGGGGAGCGAACGGG
rnacentral:rRNA from 1 species